UGCAUUCUUUGACGCUACCGACAGUAAGAAGCACCGUCUACUGCGUGCCAGCAGCCGCGGUAUUACGAGGGUUGCCGAGCAAUUAAUCGGACUUACUGGGCGUAAAGCGCCAUGCAGCUGGUUAUUUUAAGUCAGAUGUGAAUCGCCCGGGGGCUCCAUCCUCGGAAUUGCAUUUGAAACUGGCAGACUAGAAGUACUGUAGAGGAGGGUAGAAUUUCAGAUGUAGCGUGAAAUGCGUAGAGAUCUGAAGGAAUACCGGUGGCGAAGGCGGCCCCCUGGACAGAUACUGACACUCAGAUGCGAAAGCGUGGGGAGCAAACAGGAUUAGAUACCCUGGUAGUCCACGCCGUAAACGAUGUCUACUUGGAGGUUGUGGCCUUGAGCCGUGGCUUUCGGAGCUAACGCGUUAAGUAGACCGCCUGGGGAGUACGGUCGCAAGAUUAACACUCAAAUGAAUUGACGGGGGCCCGCACAAGCGGUGGAGCAUGUGGUUUAAUUCGAUGCAACGCGAAGAACCUUACCUACUCUUGACAUCCAGAGAACUUUCCAGAGAUGGAUUGGUGCCUUCGGGAACUCUGAGACAGGUGCUGCAUGGCUGUCGUCAGCUCGUGUUGUGAAAUGUUGGGUUAAGUCCCGCAACGAGCGCAACCCUUAUCCUUGUUUGCCAGCGAGUAAUGUCGGGAACUCCAGGGAGACUGCCGGUGAUAAACCGGAGGAAGGUGGGGACGACGUCAAGUCAUCAUGGCCCUUACGAGUAGGGCUACACACGUGCUACAAUGGCGCAUACAGAGGGCAGCCAACUUGCGAAAGUGAGCGAAUCCCAAAAAGUGCGUCGUAGUCCGGAUUGGAGUCUGCAACUCGACUCCAUGAAGUCGGAAUCGCUAGUAAUCGUGGAUCAGAAUGCCACGGUGAAUACGUUCCCGGGCCUUGUACACACCGCCCGUCACACCAUGGGAGUGGGCUGCAAAAGAAGUAGUGUAGUUAACUUCGGGGGGACGCU
rnacentral:rRNA from 2 species